GGAGGGGUGCCCGAGUGGCCGUAAGGGAGCCGCCUGCUAAGCGGUUUGCCGGGAAACUGGCACGUGGGUUCGAAUCCCACCCCCUCCGCCA
rnacentral:tRNA from 1 species